GGGUUACCUGCCUGUAAGACUGGGAUAACUCCGGGAAACCGGAGCUAAUACCGGAUAGUUCCUUGAACCGCAUGGUUCAAGGAUGAAAGACGGUUUCGGCUGUCACUUACAGAUGGACCCGCGGCGCAUUAGCUAGUUGGUGGGGUAAUGGCUCACCAAGGCGACGAUGCGUAGCCGACCUGAGAGGGUGAUCGGCCACACUGGGACUGAGACACGGCCCAGACUCCUACGGGAGGCAGCAGUAGGGAAUCUUCCGCAAUGGACGAAAGUCUGACGGAGCAACGCCGCGUGAGUGAUGAAGGUUUUCGGAUCGUAAAGCUCUGUUGUUAGGGAAGAACAAGUGCGAGAGUAACUGCUCGCACCUUGACGGUACCUAACCAGAAAGCCACGGCUAACUACGUGCCAGCAGCCGCGGUAAUACAUAGGUGGCAAGCGUUGUCCAGAAUUAUUGGGCGUA
rnacentral:rRNA from 2 species